GCUAUAUAAAAUUCUUUGUCAAAAGUGAGAAGAGGUAGAUCAUAUUUGAUCCAGACUCUGGAAGUCGCUUAUAAGACCUGCUCUCAGUUCAUCCUUACACAAUCAAACGGUUUGAAAUUAGAAAUUCAGACAAAAAUGUCUACAUAGAUCGCAAUUUCAAGUAAUGGAAAAUAGACUCCAUCAAAGAAGAGUGUUAUUUUCUGAUUGACAUUCACCAAAACAUCAUGGAUCCAGUGGUAGUAGAAAUGACAAGGCUUGGAACUGGCUGCCAAGGACAACUUUUCAUGAUGAGUAUAUAAGAGAUGAAGAGUAUGUAACUUCAAUUGCAGCAACAACAUUUGCAUUUCAUUCUCUAGAAGAAGCAGAGUUACGGAACUUGAAAAAAUGAGAGAGCACCCCAAAUCUUCAUGGAUCCAAACUAUGAGAAUAAAAGAGAAUGUCAGAUCAGGGUGGCCAAGUUAUGCUAAUUAUAACUUCUCAAAAUAAAAUUUAUAUACCUAGCAUCCUAUGUCUAUGGUCAAGUUUCACUCCUUGUUAUUAUGAAAAAUUGCUUAAUUAUAUCCCCUCCAAUGCCUGUAUACCCAGCACUUUAGUUGGUGUCUCAGACACCAGUGUUUCAGAAAAACACCAGUGUUGUACAAUCCACUAUUUAGAGUAUUUCAGACUUCAAAAUGUAAUUUGGUCAUGACAAACCUGCAUACUCAUGAAGAUUGUACCACACAUAUUUUGUUGAGAAGUAAAAAUUCUUUAGUUUACCUUA